UACAGAGGGUGCAAGCGUUAAUCGGAAUUACUGGGCGUAAAGCGUGCGCAGGCGGUUGUGCAAGACCGAUGUGAAAUCCCCGGGCUUAACCUGGGAAUGGCAUUGGUGACUGCACGGCUAGAGUGUGUCAGAGGGGGUAGAGUUCCACGUGUAGCAGUGAAAUGCGUAGAUAUCGAGAGGAACACCUGCGGCGAAGGCGGGUUGCUGGGCCGACACGUGACGCUGAUGCGCGAAGCC
rnacentral:rRNA from 1 species